ACAUGCAAGUCGAACGGCAGCGCGGGGAGCUUGCUCCCUGGCGGCGAGUGGCGGACGGGUGAGUAACGCGUGGGAAUCUGCCCAGUAGUGGGGGACAACCCGAGGAAACUCGGGCUAAUACCGCAUACGCCCUACGGGGGAAAGCAGGGGAUCUUCGGACCUUGCGCUAAUGGAUGAGCCCGCGUCGGAUUAGCUUGUUGAUGAGGUAACGGCUCACCAAGGCGACGAUCCGUAGCUGGUCUGAGAGGACGAUCAGCCACACUGGGACUGAGACACGGCCCAGACUCCUACGGGAGGCAGCAGUGGGGAAUAUUGGACAAUGGGCGCAAGCCUGAUCCAGCAAUGCCGCGUGUGUGAAGAAGCCCUAGGGUUGUAAAGCACUUUCAGUUGGGAAGAAACGCAGAGGGUUAAUACCCCUCUGUAAUGACGUUACCGACAGAAGAAGCACCGGCUAACUUCCGUGCCAGCAGCCCGCGGUAAUACGGAGGGUGCAAGCGUUAAUCGGAAUUACUGGGCGUAAA
rnacentral:rRNA from 1 species